AGUGAACGCUGGCGAUAGGCCUAACACAUGCAAGUCGAACGGCAGCACAGUAAGAGCUUGCUCUUACGGGUGGCGAGUGGCGGACGGGUGAGGAAUACAUCGGAAUCUACUUUUUCGUGGGGGAUAACGUAGGGAAACUUACGCUAAUACCGCAUACGACCUACGGGUGAAAGCAGGGGAUCUUCGGACCUUGCGCGAUUGAAUGAGCCGAUGUCGGAUUAGCUAGUUGGCGGGGUAAAGGCCCACCAAGGCGACGAUCCGUAGCUGGUCUGAGAGGAUGAACAGCCAGGCUGGAACGGAAACACGGUCCAAGUCCCAGCGGGAGGAGCGAUGGGGGAAUUUAUGACAAUGGGCGCAGGCCGGGGACAACCAACCCGCGGGGGUGUAAAAGGCCUGCGGGGUGUAAGACCCUUUUGUUGGGAAAAAAAAGGAGCAGGUGAAUGCCCCGCUGUUCUAGCGGAACCCAAAAAAGAAGCCCGGGCAAACUCCGU
rnacentral:rRNA from 1 species